CCUGUUUUAAGGACUGCUGUGCAGGGUUAGCUCUUAAGCAGAGACUGUGCGCUGGUAGUUGUCAGCCAAUGAUCCUCGGUACGAUAUCAAACCAUUAGCAAACUGUUUGACUACUUUCAUUGGAGGAGGGACACCAUGGCACUCCUAGCACACAACCACUAUAGCCAGCUAUGAUGGUUGUGGUGCUUGGAGUGUUAUAACAUAUUG